UCGCGGGCGACUGCGAGUCUGAAGGAAGCCCGAGGCAAAUCGCUGGCCUGACGAACAGGAAGCGGAUACGAGGCGGCAUGGCGGGGUAAGCAGUCCGAAAUCUGCGAAGCCCAAUACUUGCACAGAACGCCAUGACGUAGAUCCGACAGGCAUAAGCGUGAAAGUGGGUGCGC
rnacentral:ncRNA from 1 species